GACAGAGGUGCCGAGCGUUAGGCGGAAUCACUGGGCUUAAAGCGUGUGUAGGCGGACUUCUAAGUACCUUGUGAAAUCCCACGGCUCAACCGUGGAACUGCUUGGUAUACUGGUUGUCUUGAGCCACUUAGGGGCAGUCGGAACAGACGGUGGAGCGGUGAAAUGCGUAGAUAUCGGGAGGAACACCAGUGGCGAAGGCGACUACCUGGCCUGUUCUUGACGCUGAGGCGCGAAAGCUAGGGGAGCAAACGGG
rnacentral:rRNA from 1 species